rnacentral:rRNA from 1 species
ACCCCGCUGAACUUAAGCAUAUCAAUAAGCGGAGGAAAAGAAACUAACAAGGAUUCCCCUAGUAACUGCGAGUGAAGCGGGAAGAGCUCAAAUUUAAAAUCUGGCGGUGUAACAGCUGUCCGAGUUGUAAUUUCAAGAAGUGUUUUCUGUGCCAGACCGUGUACAAGUCUCCUGGAAUGGGGCGUCAUAGAGGGUGAGAAUCCCGUCUUUGACACGGACUUCAUGUGGUGCUCUGUGAUACACUCUCAAAGAGUCGAGUUGUUUGGGAAUGCAGCUCAAAAUGGGUGGUGAACUCCAUCUAAAGCUAAAUAUUGGCGAGAGACCGAUAGCGAACAAGUACCGUGAGGGAAAGAUGAAAAGCACUUUGGAAAGAGAGUGAAACAGUACGUGAAAUUGCUGAAAGGGAAACGCUUGAAGUCAGUCACAUUUGCUUGAAUUCAACUACUCUUUUGGGUGGUGUACUUUCAUAGUGAAUGGGCCAGCAUCACUUUUGGCUGCUGGAAAAGGGCAGGAGAAAUGUGGCACUCUUUUUUAAGGGUGUGUUAUAGUCUUCUGUCGUAUACAGUGGCUAGGAGUGAGGAAUGCCUUUUUUGUAGGAUGCUGGCAUAAUGGCUUUAAUCGACCCGUCUUGAAACACGGACCAAGGAGUCUAACAUGCAUGCGAGUGUUUGGGUGGUUAAAACUCAUGCGCGCAAUGAAAGUGAAAAGUUGGGAAGGCUGUCAUGGCCUGCACCAAUGCCUGGACUUGAGAUUUAUCGACGGUUCUACGGUCGAGCAUGUAUGUUAGGACCCGAAAGAUGGUGAACUAUGCCUGAAUAGGGUGAAGCCAGAGGAAACUCUGGUGGAGGCUCGUAGCGAUUCUGACGUGCAAAUCGAUCGUCAAAUUUGGGUAUAGGGGCGAAAGACUAAUCGAACCAUCUAGUAGCUGGUUCCUGCCGAAGUUUCCCUCAGGAA